AUACUUCAGGACUCGGUUCAACUGCCGGGAGUUCUUCAAGUUAGUUGGGAAAUCGAAAGUUAAUACCUUACGGAGAGUAUCAGCAAGAAAGCAACGUAUUCUGAGUGAUGCCAAGAUCUGCCUGGGAAUUACUGGCAACAAGCUGACGAAGGAGAGUGUGACCACAUUCGGUCGAUUAGUCUGUGAACUUGAUGGAGAUGCAAUCCUGACAUCUGAUAUAACUAUUCUGGAUGAAUUAAAAAAAUGUGGCACCUAUCAAGAAGAUCAGAAGAUUGCAAUUGAAGUUCUCCUCAGAAAUGGAAAAAGCAGAUAUGGUGUUCCUUCAUCCUGGUCCUCGUCUAC